rnacentral:piRNA from 1 species
UGAAAGAUGCAUCCAAAAGCCUCUGGAGC